GCUUACGGCCAUACCACCCUGGAAAUGCCUGAACUCGGAAGUAAAGCAGGGUCGGGCCUGGUUAGUACUUGGAUGGGAGACCGCCUGGGAAUACCAGGUGCUGUAAGCU
rfam:Danio rerio unplaced genomic contig NA512, GRCz11 reference primary assembly.